CGGCGCUCUAGAGGUCAAAGUGGAGAGAGCCAACCAAGCGCGGUAAUCAGCGGGAGU
rnacentral:rRNA from 12 species